ACAAUGCCGGGCCGGCACCGGGGGGUAGUAGGAGGAUCCAAGCGUUAUACGGAAGUGCUGGGGGUAAAGAGUUGCGUAGGUGGCAUUGUAUGUAGGUAGUGAAAGCGUGUGGCUCAACCAUAUACACAUUAUCGAAACUGGAAAGCUAGAGGACGAGAGAGGUUAUUGGAAUUCCCAGUGUAGGAGUGAAAUCCGUAGAUAUUGGGAGGAACACCGAUGGCGUAGGCAGAUAACUGGCUCGUUCCUGACACUAAGGCACGAAAGCGUGGGGAGCAAACGGGAUUAGAUACCCCAGUAGUC
rnacentral:rRNA from 1 species